GACAGAGAAGAUAAAACUCCCCAAUUCAAUAGCAAAUCUUCUCUCCUUUAAAUAAAAAGAGAAUAAAUAACACAGUGCCCUUAAUCUACCAAAAUCUACCUUAAUCUACCAAAACAAAUCAUUAUCACUUAGAGAAGAUCAGUUUCGGUGCUAUGUUUUGAUCUAAGACCUGAUUGAAAUUUGUCAGAAAUCUUAUUAUCAUUUAAAAAUUUGAAAGCUGAUUAUAAACAAACCUUCUCCAUCAUUUUAGCUUAAAGUGGGAAUUCUGUGAUCUGUAAUUGUAAAAUCAGUGUAUUUAAAAUAUAACAGGACUGUACCAUCUAUUAAACUUCUAUUCAUUGUUGACAGAAGACUAGUUCCAACCAGGGCCGUAAUCAUCAUAGACGAUGAGGGGGGCAAAUCCAGCAAGAAGCAUUGAAAGAGUAUGAGCUGCCAUUCCCUCUGAACUGCUGCUCUCCACUAACACAAAGAACAGAUUGAUACUUUGAGGAGGAGGAGGAGGAAGACUAUGCCAUUAUUAAUACAGCAAAGUUAUAAAAUAUUGACGAUGCAUUUCUAAUAUGGUUAUUUGGAAAUGACAAUGUGUAAAACGGACAGACAGAGAUCGGCUAAUGUAUAUUUCAGUCGAUGGAUAUGCAUACUGGCUUUCCAAUACAUUACAACAGUGAUCAUCAUCAUCAUCAAAAAAAUAAAUCUGAAGAGCGUACACGGACUUUCUCUUGGAGGACUAAUAAAGAUAUUGUCAUAGAGAAAUUAUGUCUGUUUGCCCAUACAAUGGAAGACGAUUGGGGACCAAACCUUUGAGCUCCAAAAGGAACAUAAAGGUAUGAUUAAUCUUUUAAUUGACAUUUUUAAUUUUUUUUCUAUGUAGCUGAAAAUUAGCCAAUGCGCAUUCUUAAUCGUUUUGCAAAUGUGCUUUAAAAACACACAAGCAACCAAAGAUAAAGUAAAUGCACUAUACGAUUUUUGCUCUGAUUUUUCCUCCAAUUUACAGUUUGGAUAUCUGUAUCGAUUUUUUAACUUCAGACUUUGAUUCCACCCAGUCUGAGGAUAUUAGACACGUUUAAUAUUUUGAGCUGAUUGUAGAACACGUCACUUUCAUUUGUCACGUGUCUCACAAGGCAGACUUUUCUGUGUAAGUUUGUUGUGAUCUGAACAACUUAAAAGUCUGGUAGUGUGUUUUCUUCAGUCGUUUAGCGUAUGAUGGCCAGUUUUUCCUCUGUGACUAUUACAUAGUCGGUAAGUGUAUGAUGACCAGUGUUUAGAUUUUAAAAGUCAUGUAGUGUUUUCCAGAAUUAACAUUAAAGUAAAUGGUCAAGAGCCCAACUAAAACAAACACUGAUCACCACAGAUUUCAGACUAAACCACUAUUUUCAAUAAAACAUCAACAUCUAAACCUCUGCUAUUCUCA
ensembl:lncRNA